UACAGAGGGGGCAAGCGUUGUUCGGAAUUACUGGGCGUAAAGGGCGCGUAGGCGGCCUGCUAAGUCGAACGUGAAAUCCCUGGGCUCAACCCGGGAACUGCGUCCGAUACUGGAUGGCUUGAAUUCGGGAGAGGGAUGCAGAAUUCCAGGUGUAGCGGUGAAAUGCGUAGAUAUCUGGAGGAAUACCGGUGGCGAAGGCGGCAUCCUGGACCGACAUUGACGCUGAGGAGCGAAAGCUAGGGUAGCAAACGGG
rnacentral:rRNA from 1 species